UUAUGUUUACAGAGAAAGUUACCUGAACAGGAUGUGGUUCAAGGCUCCUAUCUUGCACUUCCAUUGACUUUACUUCUGCUGUUAGCUGGGUACAAUCAUGAUAAGUUGAUGCCCCUGCUGCUGCACCUGACAAGCCGUCUGCAAGGUGUGCGUGCACUUGGACAGACAGUAGCUGACACUGGCAAUCCAGAGGACGCAAAGAGACUUCAGAAAAGACAAAAGACACGGAGGACGUAAAGAAAAAAAAGCACUAUGGUGUGAAGUGACAUCGAAGUCAUGCUUGGGCCCUUGGGACAUGCUAUGAAAAAACUCCUUUCUUUAGAAGGAACCACAGACAUCAAAUACAGUUUUACGUUAUACUGUUUUUUUUUUUUAAUAGACCGAAUUGUUUUGUACAUUUUGGAUGUUCAUAAAAAGAUUCUAAAUUUAGUUUGGAAAUGAACAGGUGUGACCACUUUUUGUCAUUUUCCACUGGAGAUAAUUUAUUUUUUAUCAUCACUAAAAAGCUUGAUGACACUUGAACCUUAUGUAAUCUAAUUUAUCUCAAACAUAUUUCCCAAGGAAGGUCCAAUAAAAAGAGCGUGAUUUUCUUUUUAA